rnacentral:rRNA from 1 species
GACGAACGCUGGCGGCGUGCUUAACACAUGCAAGUCGAACGGAAAGGCCCUGCUUUUGUGGGGUGCUCGAGUGGCGAACGGGUGAGUAACACGUGAGUAACCUGCCCUUGACUUUGGGAUAACUUCAGGAAACUGGGGCUAAUACCGGAUAGGAGCUCCUGCUGCAUGGUGGGGGUUGGAAAGUUUCGGCGGUUGGGGAUGGGCUCGCGGCUUAUCAGCUUGUUGGUGGGGUAGUGGCUUACCAAGGCUUUGACGGGUAGCCGGCCUGAGAGGGUGACCGGCCACAUUGGGACUGAGAUACGGCCCAGACUCCUACGGGAGGCAGCAGUGGGGAAUAUUGCACAAUGGGCGGAAGCCUGAUGCAGCAACGCCGCGUGCGGGAUGACGGCCUUCGGGUUGUAUACCGCUUUCGCCUGUGACGAAGCGUGAGUGACGGUAAUGGGUAAAGAAGCACCGGCUAACUACGUG